rnacentral:pre_miRNA from 11 species
UUGCUUCAGGUUCUGUUUGUUUAGUGGUACAAUACCUCAGCCUUAUCAGGUGUUGUAUAUAUUCACCUGGAAGUACUGAGGUUGAGUUUCACUGAACAUAAGCUUCAUGUUUACUCU